UUCUCCUUUUCUCUUUCACACACACACACACACAAAUUCUCUGAAGCCCACUUAACAUGAAUGGCCUCUGUCCUCAUCAGCUCAUCCCUGAGACUAAAACACAGACAAAUACACACACACAUAUACACUAAUUCAUUACACACAGAAACAAAUGAGACUCAUCACUUGAACUGUAUUGUCUGUCUAGGCAGCAGUAAUCAAAUCAAGAAUCUCUAAAUCUUUUUUACACUCUAGCUCUCUUUUUCUCUCUUUGUUUUCUCUCUCUCUCUCUCUCCCUCUCUAAUGAGAAGCUGGCCGCCACACUGUGUGGUUGUUUGGUUCUCAUUUCAAAUGCUUCCCCACUCUAAUGAGGGUCAGACAGCUUGGGUUCCUCCAGGUGAAUGCUAUCCAUAAAAACUGCAGCAAUAAACUUUCAUUCCUUUGGCAAGCAGGAUGAACAACAGUGUGAUUUAAUACUUUAAACAACUCUAAUGGAGAAGGACCACAAUAGAAAAGAUGCAUAACAGUGAGGCUACGCGUGGUAUUUUCACCAUUAAUAAAUCAUUACGGUACACAUGUUCCUCACAAUAACAAACUCUGGUGCAUCCAGUUGCACAGAUGAUGUUGCUGCUUAUGUCCACCUCACACCAACUUCAUCUUCACCCUUCGGUCACUCCACCAUCUGUGAGAAAAGCUCAUUUUGCUGUCUGUGGCUCAUUCUUUCGUCUGCAAACGUCCACCAAAAUUAAAAAAUGCAAAUCAACAGCCUCCACAAAAUCCAUCCUGGUAGUCACGUUACCACCAUCAAAUGAAUGCAACAUAGUGGGAGGCCUAAUGUCUGACAAGCCAAACUAAGUUUUUGUCAAGUUCAGUUUUUCCACCAAAUUUCAGACCAACCUGUAUAAUUUUUCCUGAUAUGCUACCGUGCUAAAGAAGACAUGUUUUUCCUGCAUAGGCUCGCCAUGAUCGAUGUGCACACAUACACUGGGGCUGUAUGUAGAAAACAUGUACAGUAGGUGCCAGUGUUAUAGCAUUUCCAUUAAAUUGUGUUAUCUUAGUCUUUUAAAAUGACAUGAUUGAAAAAAACUGCUUUAUAUACUUACCACACUUAUAUUCUUUGUAUUGCCUCUGUAUUAUUUCAAUGAGUGUCAGCAUGUGUUUGACUAAUGCUUGUUUGUUUGUUUCCUACAGUAACAGGAAAAUGUAUCCAUUAGUUCCAUGUCACCAGUUAUAACAGAAUGGAAGUGUUUACCUUAAAAAGCACAAAAAUAACAAUUUUACCGCAUUCACUGUUUCAAAAGGUGGUGGUUAGCACCUCAAGGCACCUUUGUCAGCUAAAAUAGCGACAUCUCACAAACAGACGCGGAGAAAGGCACAAGGAAGUGACAAAAUGACAUGCGAACACGACUGCGAAAAACACACACCUUCACGUAAACACGAGGUGGCGAGAUGUUUGGACGGUCCAACUGCGCGCUCCUCCCCCCGCCUGCACAGAAUUUGCAUCGCCGCCUAAUCAUCGUCAUUACAGCUGUUUGAAAAACUGUUUCCAAACAGGCAAUCAAAGCUUGUCUCGAUAAUUAGCGGAGAGGAAGACGUCUUUGUGAGCGAAUGGCUCUUCUCCCUCCUCCAAUUGCCACCAAUCUCAGGACACAAAAUCAGAUCUGUCUCUUAUGAGAACACAAAAAAACCUGCAAGUGUUUUUGCAUGUCUAUGAAUCUAUGCGUGUGUGUGUGUGUGUGUAUGCGUGCGUGCACUGGUUGCACUUAUUGUGCUGCCGAGACAGCUUGACUGAAAACAAACUGACAAAAAACAUUUGAAGCAGAAAAAAGGGGGGAAAAAAACGCGCACACACAACAACCUGUCGAGCGAAAUGCCUCUAAUUUUUCUGUCAUCUGCCAGCCGUUUAACAAGACGAGAGCGCUCUGCCCCCACACUCCUCCUUCAAGCCAUGAGAGACAGAGAUGGAGGGAGGAAGAGGAGGAAAGAUGGAGAGGAAAAAGACGAGGGUUGUGAUCUAUCUCUCUUUCUCGAUAUUGCCCCCUCUUCCCUACCUCAGACAGUGGAAGAACAAAGUGUAUAUUUGUGUGUGUCAGGGGAGGCAGGGUAAUAAGCACUUAGCCAUUGGCCCUGUCUCUCUCAGACCAAACCUCCAGCUCUCUGCCUCUAGCUCUCUCUCUAAGGGGGAAUGGUGUUUAUAGUAAAGGUCCUGUUCACUUUAAUAUGGCACAUUACGCUGAUGCUGCUGUCAACUCACAUGAGAGCGCAGGCGGUGUGUGUGUCUCAGCAUGUCUGUUUCUGUGUAUGUUGGCUUGUAUAUUCAUUUGUGUGCAUGCUUGUGUACAUUUACAACAGUGUGUGUGUGUGUAGUGUAGUGUAGUGUAGUGUGUGUGUGCUGUCAGCUUGCCUCCUCUUGCUCCUCCAGCGGAGCUGAGGAUCGGUGGAGACAGGCGGAUAGAUGAAAUAUUUAACUGUCAUGUGUUUAAAAGAACAACAGAUGCUUUGUUCUGCUAAUUAGCACUUAGCACAGAGAGCAGCUACAGUACAGUUGUGUGUGUAUGUGUGUGUGUGUGUGUGGAAGGGGAGGGAUUGUUAUCCUAACUCAGCUGGGGCUUUAAGCAGCCCCACUUGACUUGUCAAGUCCAAUCCUGUUCGCUCUCCACCAAACCUGGUGCACCUCCCCAGUGGCGAUCCUAGACUCUGAGAGGCCCCACAACAGCGCUCUGCAUCUGGUACCUUACUAGACCAUUCUGCAGGGUCAUCAGAUAUUGUCCAUGUUCUAAUGCCGGCGCUGGGGGGCAGGGUGUCCUCAUUAUCAUCGGGAAACAGAUGAUCCUCUUCCACCUCACAAACAUCCCCUGUCAGUGACGAAGUUGAAUACACACACCUAGACACACACACAAAAGUGUGUUUGAAUGCAUGAACUUGUUUAUCUGCUUUGUUAGACCAUGUGAGUGUAUUUGUACAUAAUUGUGGCGGGUUAUAUUCUAUUGUUAACACUUCGGCAAAUGUAAAAUGUUCAUUUGACAUCCCAAUAAAGCCCCAUUUGAAUUUGA